rnacentral:rRNA from 1 species
ACAACGGAUCUCUUGGUUCUGGCAUCGAUGAAGAACGCAGCAAAAUGCGAUAAGUAAUGUGAAUUGCAGAAUUCAGUGAAUCAUCGAAUCUUUGAACGCACAUUGCGCCCGCCAGUAUUCUGGCGGGCAUGCCUGUUCGAGCGUCAUUUCAACCC